CCACCUGGUGCCUCGCUGACCUCGGUGACCUGCAUGUCCGUGCCUUGCAGUGUAUUAAGUGCAUAACCUUAUAUGGAGUUAUGUUCCCCCUCUGGGCAGUAAUUACCUUAUAUGGCGAUGGGUGGGUAAAAGCCAUGACCGGAUGAGGUAACGUGAGACAUUGGCAAACGGCCAUGCGACAGGAGAGAACAAAGGAGAAUAAAAUCGG